rnacentral:sRNA from 1 species
GGAUAAGGAACAAAGGCUAGGAUCGCCACGUCCUGUGGCAACGCCUUCGUGACCAACAUCCUGUUGG